rnacentral:rRNA from 1 species
AACGAACGCUGGCGGCAGGCCUAACACAUGCAAGUCGAACGCCCCGCAAGGGGAGUGGCAGACGGGUGAGUAACACGUGGGAACGUACCCUUCGGUUCGGAAUAACACAGAGAAAUUUGUGCUAAUACCGGAUACGUCCGAGAGGAGAAAGAUUUAUCGCCGAUGGAUCGGCCCGCGUCUGAUUAGCUUGUUGGUGAGGUAACGGCUCACCAAGGCGACGAUCAGUAGCUGGUCUGAGAGGAUGAUCAGCCACACUGGGACUGAGACACGGCCCAGACUCCUACGGGAGGCAGCAGUGGGGAAUAUUGGACAAUGGGGGAAACCCUGAUCCAGCCAUGCCGCGUGAGUGAUGAAGGCCCUAGGGUUGUAAAGCUCUUUUACCUGGGAAGAUAAUGACUGUACCAGGAGAAUAAGCCCCGGCUAACUUCGUGCCAGCCGCCGCCGUAAGAC